rnacentral:rRNA from 1 species
AGUACUAAAUAGANNNCCCAACANUAGUUGAUUACANUGAACAAGUUACUGUAGGGAUAACAGCGUAAUAUAUAUCUAAAGUUCUUAUUUUGAUAUAAGUUUGCGACCUCGAUGUUGAAUUNAUAUUACUUUCAAGCGCAAGAGCCUGAAAAGUGGG